rnacentral:tRNA from 1 species
GUCUAUAUAGUUUAAAAACAUUAGGCUGUGAACCUAAAAAUAGAUCUUAUAGACCCAGAGUGAA